GACGAACGCUGGCGGCGUGCCUAAUACAUGCAAGUCGAGCGAAGUUUUUCUGGUGCUUGCACUAGAAAAACUUAGCGGCGAACGGGUGAGUAACACGUAAAGAACCUGCCUCAUAGACUGGGACAACUAUCGGAAACGAUAGCUAAUACCGGAUAACAGCAUUAACUGCAUGGUUGAUGUUUAAAAGUUGGUUUUGCUAACACUAUGAGAUGGCUUUGCGGUGCAUUAGCUAGUUGGUGGGGUAAAGGCCUACCAAGGCGACGAUGCAUAGCCGACCUGAGAGGGUGAUCGGCCACACUGGGACUGAGACACGGCCCAGACUCCUACGGGAGGCAGCAGUAGGGAAUCUUCCGCAAUGGGCGAAAGCCUGACGGAGCAACGCCGCGUGAGUGAAGAAGGAUUUCGGUUCGUAAAGCUCUGUUGUUAGGGAAGAAUGAUUGUGUAGUAACUAUACACAGUAGAGACGGUACCUAACCAGAAAGCCACGGCUAACUACGUG
rnacentral:rRNA from 1 species